rnacentral:rRNA from 1 species
AGCAGUAGCCGCGGGAAUACGUAGGGUGCGAGCGUUAAUCGGAGUUACUGGGCGUAAAGCGUGCGCAGGCGGUUUUGUAAGACAGGCGUGAAAUCCCCGGGCUCAACCUGGGAAUGGCGCUUGUGACUGCAAAGCUAGAGUGCGGCAGAGGGGGAUGGAAUUCCGCGUGUAGCAGUGAAAUGCGUAGAUAUGCGGAGGAACACCGAUGGCGAAGGCAAUCCCCUGGGCCUGCACUGACGCUCAUGCACGAAAGCGUGGGGAGCAAACAGGAUUAGAUACCCCCGUAGUCCCUGUCUCUUAUAC